UAAACUUUAUACUGCUUGUCCAGACAUAUUUUACCUUCCUUCUUGUUUAUCUACAAGGCACAUGACUAAUGUUUGGCCUUCUUCAGCUCUUCUGUGGAUUACUGUCCAUAUCUAAUAAAAGCGGGACUGAGGGGUUGUUUGGGGCAACAGUCUUUUCUACUGUUGUCCCCUGCUCCCUCUCUCUUGCAGCUGACUUGUUUGUGCCUCGUUCUUCUCCCGUGCACCGUCAGGAAGCGGCAAGUGGUGCCCGAACAGGGACCAAAAUGAAACAGGAGAAGAAACCCCAAUGUGAGUUUUUGCAUGGCCGUGCCUUUUUCCUGCUGUAUAUGUUUUGCAGCACAUCGAAACUGCUACUGUUUCUACCUCUGAUGUGAUAUGAUGACCCUCAUCACAGCCAUGCAGGCGAAAAUUCUUCCAACGACUGAUGGAUCAAGAAGUUACAAAAUUGACUUUUCUUCUUCUGCACAAACAAAAAGAGGGAGAUGCAACUAUCCCUCAGAACAAUGUAUUACUUAACAUAUAACCCAUGGGAAAUUUUACUACUUACCAAGCACGUUUAGAUACAGCCUUAAGAAAUACACAUACUGGCAACAGGUCUCUGGGGGAGAGGAUGGUAUAUGGCCUUGAAGCCAAGCAGCUGGGAACGCCCAGCCCACUCAGGGCAGAAGGUCCUCUGCUUCAUUUUUCCAUUAUCUCCGCCCCCUGCCCCCCUCCCCCACCCCAGCCCCAGAGCGCCUGUGGCUAGUUAAAUAAGUCCUUUGAAUGUGCUUGUUCAACUAUAAACUUUAUACGGCUUGUCCAGGAUUUUGCCCUCCUUGUUUAUCUACAAGGCGCAUGACUAAACUUUGGCCUUCUUUGGCUCUUCUGUGGAUUACUGUCCAUAUCUAAUAAAAGCGGGGCUGAGGAGUUGUUCGGGGCAACAGUCUUUUCCACUGUUAGCCCCUGCUCCCUUUCUCUUGCAGCUGACUUGUUUGUGCCUCAUUCUUCUCCCUUGCAUCAUCAGGAAGUGGCAAUGGAGGGGAACCUGGGUGGCUCAUUUGGUUAAGGGACCGACUCUAAAUUUUGGCUAAAGUCAUGAUCUCAGGGUUGUGAGAUCAAGCCCUGCUUCAGGCUUUAUGCUGGGUGUGCAGCUUGCUUAAGAUUCUCUCUCUUCCUCACUCGCCCCCUUUCCCUCGCUCUCUUAAGUAAAAAUAAAUGAAUUAAUAAGUUAAUUAAUUAAAACAAAACAAAACAUAACAAAACACUAGACAGACCUUCAGCACCAUGCUUCGGGAGCCAUUUUAAGCAACAAAAUCUGCCCCCCUCUCCAAGUACAGAAAUGUGAAAACCAUGGCACUAAGCAGAUUGAAAAAAAUUUUUUUGUUCACACUGUGGGCAUUUAAACAAAAAACAGAGCAUUGCUUUGUUCGUCCUCAGUUGGCAACAUGCAAGUUAGAAAUUCUAAUUUUUUUUAUGACUCUAUUCAUGUUAACUAUGAAAAGACCAGGUUGAUUUGGGGGUUACAAAUAAAUUCUUGCAAGCAAAUGAAUCCUGAAACAUGUAAUCCAUGAAUAAUUGGG